UUCCGCAAGAAUUGUUUGACAACUUCUCCUUGUAAAAGUUGUUGAGCCCCCAACAUAGAGUCGAUCUUUGGCAACAUCAAAAUAGAAAUUUGAUAGGUCAACAAUAACAAACCGUUGUAUGAUCUGGAAUAUUUUGGAAAAUUGAUAGUUUUCAUAACUCUCUCUUAUAUUCUUUACAACAUUUUCCAGCUGAAAAAGUGCAUGCUUAUCAAUCAUGGGGAGAUCAUUGUAUGAAACUGCAUUAUCAGCUUUCCAAUCAUGUAGAUUUCCCAGAAGAUAUCUCAAUGUUCCU
rnacentral:misc_RNA from 1 species